rnacentral:lncRNA from 1 species
GGGUAUGGUUAAAGGUUCAAGUUUGGGGUUGUUGGGAGAAUUGAAAAAGAAAAGAAAAGUUAGGCAUUGAGCUUAUGAGUUGAAAAGAAAAUGCAUGAGAAAAGAUGAAAAAGAUAGAAAAAGAAAAAGCAUGAAAAGAAAAGCUCAAUGUGAAGAAAAGGGGAAAAGUUGGGAAUAAGUAAGAUUGGUAAAAAGAGAGAGUUUGUGCUUGAACUAUGAAUGUAUAGAGAACUCUCUUAACUCAAGGGUUUUGUGAUAUAGAAAAACCAAUUUUCCUUGUUAGCCCAACCACAUUAUAAGCCUUGAAAAGUCCUUGUGAUGACAUGUGUA